rnacentral:rRNA from 1 species
UACGUAGGGUGCGAGCGUUGUCCGGAAUUAUUGGGCGUAAAGAGCUUGUAGGCGGUUUGUCGCGUCUGCUGUGAAAAUCCGGGGCUCAACCCCGGACUUGCAGUGGGUACGGGCAGACUAGAGUGUGGUAGGGGAGACUGGAAUUCCUGGUGUAGCGGUGGAAUGCGCAGAUAUCUGGAGGAACACCGGUGGCGAAGGCGGCAUCCUGGACCGACACUGACGCUGAGGAGCGAAAGCCAGGGGAGCAAACGGG